UACGAAAGAGGCGAGCGUUAUUCGUGAUGACACGGCGUAUAGGGUCUACAGGUUGCCUCCUGGCCUUCUAGUCAAAUCUUGGGUCGAUACCCAUACAGGCUGGUUUUAGUCGGAGGAUUGAGGGCGUUAAGAGGGUUGAUGGAACUGCAUAGGGUAGGGAUAAAAUCCGUUGACCUAUGUUGGAACACCGGCGGCGAAAGCGGUCUUCCGAAACGUGCCUGACGCUGACGGACGAAAGCGUGGGGAGCGACAGGG
rnacentral:rRNA from 1 species